AAGAAACGAAUUUAAAUUUAUAUACUUGAUUUUAAUAUAAUCCUAUUUUUUAAAAGCAGAAUGAAUUAUUUUGUAAAAUCCUUAAACUUCGAUAAAUAACUCUCAAGAUUAAUUGCGCCCGUCGAAACAAUAACUGUAGACAUCAGUAUUUUAUAAGAAAAAUUGUUUAAAGAUGUUAUUGAUUUUUUUAAUCAUCUAGAAUUGGGAAACGAGUUCACUAGUCCAAGAACGUACUAGAAUAAAAUCAAGAACGUAAUGCAAAUAUCAGACUGUUUGCAUGAACGGGUAUGGGAAACAAAUGACAAUUAUCUAGAAUGUAAAUGUGAAACAAAUGCCCUAACUCGGUUACUCAACAAGCUAAAUCGUAUCGUCAAUGUCCAACAUGGCCGCUGUUGAAGAUGCUAUUGAUUCGGUACUUAGCUUCGGACAGCCUGGCAUUGACAGAGAAUAUAUCCGGCGCCUCUCGGGGAAAAGUUACCUACAUCCAAUAAGUCAAUAAAUUUUCGUUUUAUCCUUACCGAAAUUUGAAAUAUGGCUUAAUCGGAUGGCUUUUAUAAGACAAAAAAGUAGGAAAUUUUCGUAUAGAACUGCGAGACGUAAUUAAGGAACUUUUAUGAAAGCUUUUCACCAUCCUAAUGAAAGUAUCAUGUAAAUUUUAUCCUUCUCUCUUUGCUCCUUUUAUUCUCGUACGCAUCUCGCGUACCGUAUCCAUCGAUCGGGCGCGAAAUUAAGCAAAGGAGAUGGGUCGUCGAACCUCAAAGCCUUUUAUAUAUAGUCUGGCCAUGCACCAAUACCUACACUCAGAACAACUUUUCUUAAAUUAUACCUCUUAUUACGCAUUUAAAAAGAAACGUGUCAAGGAUACGGACCAUAUAUGCAAUCAAUCUAAUAGAAUAUUUUGCAACUAUGAAGUUUUGCCACCAUAGCAUUUCUGUCAUUAUACUUUCCGGAAAGAAACGUGAUCCAAUUUUUAUAUUGAAUACGGUUGAAACUUUUUCAUAUAUGGCGCACAUCCGAUGGAAUUACGAACUUUUAUUGUGUCCCGAAAACAGACAAACUGGAAAAUACAAAGUCGGAACGAAUAAUAGUUAUAUUAUUAUUUUUGUUUUUUUGCGAAACAUAAUCGAUGUCUGUGACAAUUCUCAUUUCGCAAUUUUCUUCCUUCUUUUGUAGUUUCUAUUUUUAUUUUUUUCGAUGUAGGCUGUUUAAAGAAUGAUCAAAUGGAAGUCAGAAACAGCUGAAUAUUACCUUAGUAAUA
rnacentral:lncRNA from 1 species